CUCCAAAGACACUAGGGCUCUCUGUGCAAAGAAAAAAGAGGCGAGGCGGCUAGGGAAAGACCUUAGCGCCGCCUCCACCAUUGCCCCACCCCCUUUUUCCUCAUCGUAUCCUAUCAUGGGAUAGAGUGUAGAACAUGGAAAAUUAGAGGAGAGGACAAAGCAUUAAUGGCUUCAUCCUUUUCCAUACGUUUUCUCCACAAAAUCCGUCCAAAUGCUCCCUUAAGAAAGGAGGCUCCAAGUCCAUUCUUGCUCUGGUUGCACUCAAAAAAGGUGGUGAAAUUGAACAAGGGGAUGAAGGAAGUGAAGACAUGACUUAGGAGGAUUA